GAGGGUAUAGCUCAGUAGUAGAGUGCGUGCUUAGCACACACUAGGUCCUGGGUUCGAUCCCCAGUGCCUCCA
rnacentral:tRNA from 1 species